UGCAUCGGCCGGGAAUCGAACCCGGGCCGCCCGCGUGGCAGGCGAGCAUUCAACCACUAAGCCACCGAUGC